GAGGGGCACAGUCAGGAGAGGCCUUAGGGGAAGGGCUUGGAAGACAAAAUUUCCAGUUGCGCAGUUUUGUUCAGGACUAAUGUUUCUUCCCAGAACAGAGAUGUAAUGAGCUGACCUGAAAUAUGGGAAAGAAAAACUGGGUGCUGAUCUCCACGCCAGGAUCUAAUCAACUGUUUGCAUGCUAAUCUCCAGCCCAGACUCAACCUACAAGGUUGUCAGUCUGCUGCUAAGGGCUGCUAAGAUUAGUGGACUGGUCAGAGUUGGUGUAACACGGUGAUGAUCUCUAGGGACAGUGGCAGGACCUGAGACUGAAGGCAGGAAGAUCUAAAAUGAGACUCUCACCCUAGAAUUAUAAAAGAGAAAAGUUUUUACAGGAAGGCGCAUUUAAGAAAACUUUAAAGGAAGGCACAUUUGAGAAAUACGGCUUGCCUGAGGAAGCAAAAUUGAUGAUACCUUGUGAUUCAGCCACACUUGGCUUGAGCUCAGCAACUCAUGAUACCUCCCUGGGCAUCAGCUUUCCCAUGAGCAACCUUACGAGGUAAUUGGAAACAUCAAGGAAGGCAAUGGGCGUGGAAGCGAUUUAUAAAGCAUAUACCCUAUAGUGUGCUGUGCACAUGGAACGGCGUUGGGGAUGACAGAAUGGUGAUGAAGAUGAUAAAAUUGCUGGAUUUGUAGGUUAAAAGUUGUGAUAAACAGACAAGUGGGGUUAUUAAAGGCAAAAUGCUACUUUCUCUAUUUAAUACCUGUCCUGGGGCUAUUGCUGUUGGAAAUCAAAGCAAUACUACUGUCCCACCCCCUUGCAAGGAGGAAUCAAGGAAGGGGUUAAGAUUAUCCUGAGGUCAGGUAAGUCCUAUCUUAUUCCCCAGGCAGCGGUGAGUGAAUCAAGGAUUUUCCUGGGAGUCAGGGUUCCCCAGGAAAAUUAACCAGGAUAUUGGCUCACUUCAUUCCAGUAACAAAGGCAACCCUGUCGAUAAAAGACGGAGCCUUGGGGUCUAGUCUUCUCAAUCUCAUGCACUCUGUUGCUGGCCCACAGAGGCUCUAUAUCUUGCCUUCUCCCUCUCCUCCUCCUCUUCCAAAUCAAAACUCCUUAGAACUCAGUGAGUGGUUGGAUUAGGAGGAAAGGGACCAGAAGGCAGUUCAAAAACGGCACUGGACUGACUGCAGUUCUAAUCCUAGCUCUGCCACCAAAGAGCUCCAGGACCUUGAGAAAGCCACA